rnacentral:tRNA from 1 species
AUUUAAAUAGUUUAAUAAAAAUAUAAUAUUGAAGAUAUUAUGAUAAUUAUUUAUAAUUUUUAAAUA